rnacentral:rRNA from 1 species
GACGAACCGUGCGAACGUUGUUCGGAAUCACUGGGCUUAAAGGGCGCGUAGGCGGGCGGUCAAGUCUGUGGUGAAAUCCUUCGGCUCAACCGGAGAAUAGCUGGAGAUACUGGCCGUCUCGAGGGGGGUAGGGGCAUGUGGAACUUCCGGUGGAGCGGUGAAAUGCGUAGAUAUCGGAAGGAACGCCGGUGGCGAAAGCGACGUGCUGGACCCUUUCUGACGCUGAGGCGUGAAAGCCAGGGGAGCAAACGGG